GAUGGCAUGGGAUAAUCGAUUAUCCCAUGCGGUCGACUUAACACGAUCGCAGGAAUAAUCGAUUAUCCCGUGCGGUU
rnacentral:pre_miRNA from 13 species